rnacentral:rRNA from 1 species
UCUUCGGCAAUGGACGCAAGUCUGACCGAGCAACGCCGCGUGAGUGAAGAAGGUUUUCGGAUCGUAAAACUCUGUUGUAAGAGACGAACGUUGAUGAGAGUGGAAAGUUCAUCAAGUGACGGUAUCUUACCAGAAAGCCACGGCUAACUACGUGCCAGCAGCCGCGGUAAUACGUAGGUGGCAAGCGUUGUCCGGAUUUAUUGGGCGUAAAGCGAGCGCAGGCGGUUGAUUAAGUCUGAUGUGAAAGCCCCCGGCUCAACCGGGGAGGGUCAUUGGAAACUGGUCAACUUGAGUGCAGAAGAGGAGAGUGGAAUUCCAUGUGUAGCGGUGAAAUGCGUAGAUAUAUGGAGGAACACCAGGGCGAAGGCGGCUCUCUGUCUGUAACUGACGCUGAGGCUCGA